AGCAACAAUCCUUAUCACAAUGGAGGCCAACUGGUUGUGAGGUCAGAGCAGGAGUCUGGCCCUCUUAAUCUCACUUAAUCCUCCCACCAACCUUUUCCAGCAGGAAGGCAGACAUCAGAAGGGGGCUCAGCUGGUCCCCCUAAUGGGGUUCAGGAACAAUGUCUGAAGCACCACUGGGAAACCUGGCAGCAGUCACCGUCUUCAGAAGUUUCCAGGGCCCUCCCAGCCACCAUAAACCACACCACUGGGAAAUACUUGG
rnacentral:lncRNA from 1 species